GAUGAAGAACGUAGCGAAAUGCGAUAAGUAGUGUGAAUUGCAGAAUUCAGUGAAUCAUCGAGUCUUUGAACGCACAUUGCGCCCCCUGGUAUUCCGGGGGGCAUGCCUGUCCGAGCGUCAUUGCUGCCCUCAAGCACGGCUUGUGUGUUGGGCCCCGUGCUCCGAUCCCGGGGGACGGGCCCGAAAGGCAGCGGCGGCACCGCGUCCGGUCCUCGAGCGUAUGGGGCUUUGUCACCCGCUCUGUAGGCCCGGCCGGCGCUUGCCGAUCAACCCAAAUUUUUUAUCCAGGUUGACCUCGGAUCAGGUAGGGAUACCCGCUGAACUUAAGCAUAUCAAUAAGCGGAGGA
rnacentral:misc_RNA from 1 species